rnacentral:rRNA from 1 species
GUGUCAGCCGCCGCGGUAAUACGUAGGGGGCAAGCGUUGUCCGGAUUUAUUGGGCGUAAAGAGCUCGUAGGCGGUUCCGUAAGUCGUGAAGUCAAAUCUCUGGGCUCAACCCAGAAUCGCUUCCGAUACUGCGGUGACUGGAGUCCGGUAGGGGAGUGUGGAAUUCCUGGUGUAGCGGUGAAAUGCGCAGAUAUCAGGAGGAACACCAACAGCGAAGGCAGCACUCUGGGCCGGUACUGACGCUGAGGAGCGAAAGCAUGGGGAGCGAACAGGAUUAGAUACCCCCGUAGUCC